GUUAUACUAUUAGGGCAAGCAUAUUUUAUUUAUAAUGUUAAUUUACUUUUUAUGAAAGAAAAGGAAAUAAUUAGGUGAAAUUAUAAAGUUGGAUGUUUCUUGAGGUAAAUUUUUGAAAUCUUCUGAAAAACUAGGAUUAGAUACCCUAUUAUUAAGAUAUUUGUAAUUAGGUAGUAAAGAUGAUACUGAAACCUAAAAAACUUGGCGGUGUUUUAAAUAAUUGGAGGAACCUGUUAUUUAAUUGAAAAUCCACAUCAUAUCUUACCUUAUUUUUGUUUGUAUAUCGUUGUUUAGAUAGUAUUUAUUAAUACAGUCGGUAGUAAAAAGUUUCCAUAAAUCAAAUCAAGGUGCAGCAUAAUGAGGUUAUAAUGGGUUACAGUAUAUGUAAUGUAAACGGAAAUGAGCUGAGAAAUUACUUGAAGGUGGAUUCAAAAGUAAUCAGAUAUAAAAAGU
rnacentral:rRNA from 1 species